CCUACGGGAGGCAGCAGUGAGGAAUAUUGGUCAAUGGGCGAGAGCCUGAACCAGCCAAGUCGCGUGAGGGAAGACGGUCCUAUGGAUUGUAAACCUCUUUUGCCGGGGAGCAAAAAGCGGUACGUGUACCGCAUCGAGAGUACCCGGAGAAAAAGCAUCGGCUAACUCCGUGCCAGCAGCCGCGGUAAUACGGAGGAUGCGAGCGUUAUCCGGAUUUAUUGGGUUUAAAGGGUGCGUAGGCGGACUGGAAAGUCAGCGGUAAAAUCGAGAGGCUCAACCUCUUUCCGCCGUUGAAACUGUCGGUCUUGAGUGGGCGAGAAGUAUGCGGAAUGCGUGGUGUAGCGGUGAAAUGCAUAGAUAUCACGCAGAACUCCGAUUGCGAAGGCAGCAUACCGGCGCCCGACUGACGCUGAGGCACGAAAGCGUGGGUAUCGAACAGGAUUAGAUACCCCGGUAGUC
rnacentral:rRNA from 1 species